GUGCUCAUUUCAACAGCACAUAUAUUAAUAUUGGAAUGAUACAGAGAAAAGUAACAUGGUCCCUCUGCAAGGAUGACAUGCAAGUUCUUGAAGCAUUCCAUACUUUU
ensembl:snRNA U6 U6 spliceosomal RNA